rnacentral:rRNA from 1 species
UACGGAGGUUGCAAGCGGUGUUCGGAAUUACUGGGCGUAAAGGGAGCGCAGGCGGUCGGGUCUGUCUGAAGUGAAAGCCCGUGGCUUAACCACGGAAGUGCUUUGGAUACUACCAGGCUUGAGUACGCGAGAGGAGAGCGGAAUUCCAGGUGUAGCGGGGUAAUGCGUAGAUAUCUGGAGGAACACCGGUGGCGAAAGCGGCUCUCUGGCGCGUUACUGACGCUCAGGCUCGAAAGCGUGGGGAGCAAACAGG